UACGGGGGGGGGCAAGCGUUGUUCGGAAUUACUGGGCGUAAAGCGCACGUAGGCGGCUUUCUAAGUCGGGGGUGAAAUCCUGGAGCUCAACUCCAGAACUGCCUUCGAUACUGGAAGCUCGAGUCCGGGAGAGGUGAGUGGAAUUCCGAGUGUAGAGGUGAAAUUCGUAGAUAUUCGCAAGAACACCAGUGGCGAAGGCGGCUCACUGGCCGGUACUGACGCUGAGGUGACGAAAGUGGUGGGGAGCGAACGAGGAUUAUGAGACCCG
rnacentral:rRNA from 1 species